GUGAAUAUGGAUGCGCUUUCUUCGGUUUUUUUCUCUGAAAGUCACAGUAGAAUAUCUCUUUAGUUGUGGCUACUAGGCCUACUCUAUUUCUGACUGUUGGACAAGCAAAGCAAUCUUUACUACAAGAUUUGCUAAACAAUCUGCUGUUUGCUAGUUGACUCAUUUGCAUAAUUCACCAGACUAUUGUCUCAUCACAAUGAUGUAUUAUGAUGGUAAUGAAUAUUCAUUGUCAGACACUUGAAACUACUAAAAUCAGGAAACUGCUGAAAUGACACCACAGCAAGAGCAACUUCUAGAUAGCAUGCACAUGUGCGUUUCACCACAGCAAGUCAUGCACGUUGUAACCUUCUACCACUUGGAUAGGCCAGUGAACAUUUUAAAAACCAUUGCAAAGAUUUCAGCAAACCGGUGGACACACCCUGCUCAGCUCAAUGGCUAUAAUGUUGCUUUCUGGUUUUGUGCUCGUUAAUUCUGAAUGAAAUUCUGAAGAAAAUUUAGACAUUGCACCUCUGCAACAAGUGGACCAGCCCUGCUUGGCUGAAUGGCGAAUUUUGCUUCCUCUACUGAAUGAAUGUGGCGACUGAAUUGGCAAUUAAAGUUUUCUAUUUCAAAUAAAUAUUCUUUGCAAUUUAAUAUCGUUUUGGAAAUAUUUUGAAUAAAUAUUCAUUGUAAUUUAGUAUUUUGAAUAAAUAAAUAUUCAUUGU